GUGAGGAAUAUUGGUCAAUGGGCGGGAGCCUGAACCAGCCAAGUCGCGUGAAGGAAGUAGGAUCUAUGGUUCGUAAACUUCUUUUGCAGGGGAAUAAAGUGCAGGACGUGUCCUGUUUUGUAUGUACCCUGAGUAUAAGGAUCGGCUAACUCCGUGCCAGCAGCCGCGGUAAUACGGAGGAUCCGAGCGUUAUCCGGAUUUAUUGGGUUUAAAGGGUGCGUAGGUGGUUUGAUAAGUCAGCGGUGAAAGUUUGCAGCUUAACUGUAAGAAUGCCGUUGAAACUGUCGGACUUGAGUGUAAAUGAGGUAGGCGGAAUGCGUGGUGUAGCGGUGAAAUGCAUAGAUAUCACGCAGAACUCCGAUUGCGAAGGCAGCUUACUAAGCUACAACUGACACUGAAGCACGAAAGCGUGGGGAUCAAACAGGAUUAGAUACCCGGGUAGUCC
rnacentral:rRNA from 1 species